GCGCUCGUUGUCUAGAGGCUAUGAUGUGACCCUGCCACGGUCGCGGCCCGGGUUCAAAUCCCGGCGAGCGCACCA
rnacentral:tRNA from 1 species